AAAUAAGUGAACCGGGAGCUCAAUGAAGUUGGGCUGAGAGAGUGGCCUUGUGCCGCUGACCGUAUAUCUGAUCUGGGUAAUGCCAGCGUAGAGAACAUGAAUUUGCGAUGU
rnacentral:ncRNA from 1 species